rnacentral:rRNA from 1 species
AGCGAACGCUGGCGGCAGGCUUAACACAUGCAAGUCGAGCGCUCGCAGCAAUACGAGAGCGGCAGACGGGAGAGUAACACGUGGGAACGUACCCUUUGGUUCGGAACAACACAGGGAAACUUGUGCUAAUACCGAAUAAGCCCUUACGGGAAAGAUUUAUCGCCAAAGGAUCGGCCCGCGUCUGAUUAGCUAGUUGGUGGGGUAAUGGCCCACCAAGGCGACGAUCAGUAGCUGGCUGAGAGGAUGACCAGCCUCAUUGGGACUGAGACACGGCCCAAACUCCUACGGGAGGCAGCAGUGGGGAAUAUUGGACAAUGGGCGCAAGCCUGAUCCAGCCAUGCCGCGUGGAUGAUGAAGGCCUUAGGGUUGUAAAGUCCUUUUAACGGGGAAGAUAAUGACGGUACCCGUAGAAUAAGCCCCGGCUAACUUCGUGCCAGCCGCCGCGGUAAU